rnacentral:tRNA from 1 species
GGAGUGGGUAUAGCUCAGUGGCAGAGUACAUGCUUAGCAUGCAUGAGGUCCUGGGUUCAAUCCCCAGUACCUCCA